rnacentral:rRNA from 1 species
CAAGCCGCGGUAAUACGAAGGGUGCAAGCGUUACUCGGAAUUACUGGGCGUAAAGCGCGCGUAGGUGGUUUGUUAAGUUGGAUGUGAAAUCCCCGGGCUCAACCUGGGAACUGCAUCCAAAACUGGCAAGCUAGAGUAUGGUAGAGGGUGGUGGAAUUUCCUGUGUAGCGGUGAAAUGCGUAGAUAUAGGAAGGAACACCAGUGGCGAAGGCGACCACCUGGACUGAUACUGACACUGAGGUGCGAAAGCGUGGGGAGCAAACAGGAUUAGAUACCCGCGUAGUCCCUGUCUCUUAUACAC